AAUACUGGAUUCAACCAUCUGUUGUUCUUGUUUUAAAAAUUAAAUAACACAGAAAUUGUAUUCACAGAGAAUGUGGAAGAAAAGCAAAGUUGUAUCAGAGAAUCUCAGGGAAGUGAUGUAAACCCCAGAAAAACUUCUGCUCUCUUUUUGCAAAUUAAAUCUGUACGAUCGGACACAGAGAGUGUGAGGUGGAAUCAGAGAGAGGUGGAGGCAGAAAGGAAUGGGAGGAAAAUGAUACGGAGAAAAUGGAGUUGUUUCUGAACAAACUCUUAGCGGGUUAUCAACUCGCCUUCUUCCACUUUGAAGAAUCACCCUGCCAGGCCAGCCUGGCUCAAGACCCAACAUUUCCAUGAUACAAAUGAUUGACUAAAGUUGU